UACGGAGGGUGCAAGCGUUAAUCGGAAUUAUUGGGCGUAAAGGGUGCGCAGGCGGAUGUAUAAGUCAGAUGUGAAAUCCCCGGGCUUAACCUGGGAAUUGCGUUUGAAACUAUAUGACUAGAGUGUGGUAGAGGGGAGUGGAAUUCCAUGUGUAGCAGUGAAAUGCGUAGAGAUGUGGAAGAACACCGAUGGCGAAGGCAGCUCCCUGGAUUAACACUGACGCUCAUGCACGAAAGCGUGGGGAGCAAACAGG
rnacentral:rRNA from 1 species